UGGAGCGUGUGGUUUAAUUCGAUGCUACACGAAGAACCUUACCAGGGUUUGACAUGUAAGUGGUAGGGAAGCGAAAGCAGACCGACCCUUCGGGGAGCUUGCACAGGUGCUGCAUGGCUGUCGUCAGCUCGUGUCGUGAGGUGUUCGGUUAAGUCCGCUAACGAGCGCAACCCUCGCUGUAUGUUACAAGUGUCAUACGGUACUGCUGGUCUCAAACCGGAGGAAGGUGGGGAUGACGUCAAGUCAGCAUGGCCUUUAUAUCUUGGGCA
rnacentral:rRNA from 1 species